rnacentral:lncRNA from 1 species
UGGGGACGGAGAUGGGGACAAGGACAGGGAUGGAAAUGGAGAUGGGGACGAGGACAAGGACGGAGAUGGAGAUGGGGACAGGGAUGCCGCCACCGCCGCUGCCGCCACCGCCGCAGAAUAAAGCUCUGAGCCGGGUGCUGGGUUUGGAGCGUGAUGGGGACCCUGGGGUGGGGCUGUGGGUGCGGGGUUGGGUUGGGGGACGAUGACGGGUCCCUCCUGUCCCUCAUCCCCAUCCCCCUCCCGUCCCCCAUCCUCCUCCCUUUCCUGUCCCCAUCCCAGUCCCCUCCUGUCCCUUUUGUGGUCCCUUCCUCUUCCUCAUCGCAGUCCUCUCUUAUCCCCAUCCCUGUCCCCUCCUGUCCCCAUCCCCAUCCCUUCCUGUCCGCAUUGCAGUCCCUUCCUGUUUCCCAUCCCCAUCCUUGUCCCCUCCUGUCCCCAUCCCUGUCCCUUCCUGUCCCCAUUGCGGUCCCUUUCUGUCCCCAUCCCUGUCCCUUCCUCUCCCCCAUCAUGGUCCCCUCCUGUCCCCAUCCCUGUCCCCAUCCCUGUCCCUUCCUGUCCCCAUCAUGGUCUCCUCCUGUCCCUAUCGCAGUCCCUUCCUGUUUCCCAUCCCCAUCCCAGUCUCCUCCUGUCCCCAUCCCAGUCUCCUCCUGUCCCCAUCCCUGUCCCUUCCUGUCCCCAUCCCCAUCCCUUCCUUUCCCCAUCGCGGUCCCCUCCUUUUCCCAUCCCCGUCCCUUCCUGUCCCCCAUCGUGGUCCCCUCCUGUCCCCCAUCCCCGUCCCUUCCUGUCCCCACCCCGGCCCCAUCCGCACCAGCCCGGCGCCGUUGCGACACAUCCCCUUUUAUUCGCCGCCACCUCGCAGCCGCCAGCGCCGGAAACCCCAGGCCCCCGGUGCCGAGGCCGUGCCACCACCGUCACCGUCACCGCCACCGUCGUGGUGGCCUCAGCUCCCCGGCGGGCUGGGAGUCGCGGGGAGCGACCGGGCGGCCCCGGGCCGCGGGAAAGACUCGGCGGCGAAGUAGUAAGCGAUGGGGUCGAGGACGGCGUUGGCGCAGGCGAGGAGCAGGGUGCAGCGAUAGGCUUCGUCCAGCGCCGGCCCCGGGGCUCCGCGCAGCUGGUAGCAGAGCAGGACGGCGUGGAAGGGCAAGAAGCAGCCGAGGAAGAUGGCCACGUGGGUGACCACCAUGCGCCGCACCUUGGCGCCGUCCACCAGCGCCAUGCGGGCGGCCGCGCUGCGCCCCACGGCCCGCAGCAGCCCCCACGAGCAGCCCACCAUGACGGCCAGCGGCAAGGCGAAAGCCGCCGCCAUGGCCCCGGCCACCGCCGGCCGCGUCACGUAGCGGGGGCGGCCGUCGAAGCACC